rnacentral:tRNA from 1 species
GCGCGGUUAGUUUAAUGGUCAGAAUAUCGCUCCGUAAGACCGGAACGAUGGCACUCCCCGGCAAGAGCGAAGGCACGGGUUCGAUUCCCGGACCGUCGCC